AGUGAACGCUGGCGGUAGGCCUAACACAUGCAAGUCGAACGGCAGCACAGUAAGAGCUUGCUCUUACGGGUGGCGAGUGGCGGACGGGUGAGGAAUACAUCGGAAUCUACUUUUUCGUGGGGGAUAACGUAGGGAAACUUACGCUAAUACCGCAUACGACCUACGGGUGAAAGCAGGGGAUCUUCGGACCUUGCGCGAUUGAAUGAGCCGAUGUCGGAUUAGCUAGUUGGCGGGGUAAAGGCCCACCAAGGCGACGAUCCGUAGCUGGUCUGAGAGGAUGAUCAGCCACACUGGAACUGAGACACGGUCCAGACUCCUACGGGAGGCAGCAGUGGGGAAUAUUGGACAAUGGGCGCAAGCCUGAUCCAGCCAUACCGCGUGGGUGAAGAAGGCCUUCGGGUUGUAAAGCCCUUUUGUUGGGAUAGAAAAGCAGCAGGUUAAUACCCCGCUGUUCUGACGGUACCCAGAGAAUAAGCACCGGCUAACUUCGUG
rnacentral:rRNA from 1 species